rnacentral:lncRNA from 1 species
CAGGAGACCAGGCAGACAAAGCUGGUGGGACUUCCUGGAAGGAUUUGAGGCACAGCCACAGAGCCCCUCCUGCCAAAUGCCCCAGAUCAGGCAGCACGUGAGGCCAGAGGAGCUCCGUGCUGCUAGGAGAUCCAGGCAGAAACAUCCAGGAGUGGAAGCUCAGCCCAGCGGCUGGGAGGCUGUGGCACCUCCUGUCCACAUGGCAGGCCAGGCCGAGGUGGGCUGGCUACACAGUGGGGCUCCCCCUCUCUGAUAAGGAGAGUAGGCACUGGACACUUCCUCAGAUGUACACGUUGGUUUCUGGGAGCCGUGUUGAACCUGCUGGCCUUUUCCAUUCCCUGGACUCUACCGCUGGGAAGCUGAUCAGGGCUGUGCUACUUCCUUGCCAUCUUCCCCUCCCACUGGACUGACCGGAAGUCCCACUGUAUCGUCCAGAUCAGCUGUGAACAAGCUGUUGAAUGAGCAGAUAAAGGAGGAGUAUGUGCAUAGGUCGUGUAUAGGCCGGGGGUUGAAAUGCUCCCAUCAGCAUGAGGGUCUCCUUCCUGUGCCACCUGGGCUGCCUGGAGGACCAGCCUUGAUAGCGCUGUGUUUCCUAUCUCCUGCCCUCAAGAUGCAAAUUUGACUGACUUCAGCUGGGACAAGCGGGGAGGAGGUGUGUAAUGAGCCACUCUCAGGUACUCAACCUCUGGACAGAUCCGUGUGUUUAAUUAAUUAUAAUCUAACUACCUGAAGUAGAAGAGGAAGCAGUGGGCUCCACAUGGGCCAGGUCCUUUAACACAUGAACUUUGAUCCCAGCCCCCGAGGUCAGCCAUCAGCUCCUCAUCCUGCAGCCUGCCCAAUGCUUCAUUACCCAAUUAACCCGUCAUUUUAGAGCCAGGUGGUUUAAGGGACUGUGUAAGAAGAACCUGGGACUCCAGGGCCGCAGCCUUUGGUUAUGGUCCUGUUGUGGUUCUAAUGCACUAAUUAAAUAUCUGUCUCUUCUAAAAGUCUGCGUGAUUUAUUGGAAAAUUGGUAGAAACAGCCCUUGGGGGGCUGUGCUCAAAAUCUGGUUUAAAAGGGUGGCUACUGGCUGUGACUCUUUGAUUUCCUCUAUCCUAUUGAAUGUCAUUAGCCCCCUUUCAUGUAAAAUAAAUGUUUGACU